AUUAUUAUAACUUACUGGGGGACCCUUACUUUUUACAAUCCCCCUUUCUACAAUAUUUACAAGAAGAAAGGUGAAAAUGCCUACAGACAGGAUAACUAAACUGUGUGGAAUAGAGGUGGCUAAUGGGGGCAGAGUCCAGCAGCUCUAACAGAACUACUAAACCUGCCAAUUAACAGGAACUGGCUCACAUCCAGACCCAGCAACAAGCAAAAUGCUCCUUCUCUCAUUCCGCACAAGAAAUACACCUCACGCUACGUCGCCUUCUGCGAGGCGAAAUAACUUUUCACACCUGAGCGGAGGCAGAGAACACACUGUUGCUUUUUCAAAACAGAAUCCCAGACAAGGUUGCUGCAUUGCUGGCCUGAUUCAACCAAGCUGAGUGGUCACCACCAGGGGGAACCAGCCAUAAAAAGAACAGGAACAGGAAGUUCUGAGUGUGUCUAGCUUCCAACAUGGCUCCUGUGUGUUCCUGGUUCCCUGCCGCAUGGUCAAUACAAUGUUUGCUGUUUGUUCAAGUGUUAGAACUAAGCUGAUGGUAAAAACCUGUUCUUUGGUGUAAACAUUGUUUGUUCUGUUCUCUCAGUGGGCAGAAAGAGUUUACUUUUCUUUAUAUGUUUUAUAUGUCUGGGUUUGUUUAGUUAGGAAGUUAGGUUAGUGAUUUGUAUUUUAUUUUAUUUCUAAG
rnacentral:lncRNA from 1 species